ACACUAAUUGAGGGAUUCUAACAAUGAAGAUAUUUAACACUCCAUGUUGCUACUUGUAAAUGUUUAUCAAAGUAACUUCACCACCUUUUCUUAAUCUUUUCUCACCUUUUGGACUAUUAUGGUCGUAAUCUUCUAAUUUGAUGUGAGUGCCAGUAUUACCUUUUAUUUGGGCCAAUUUAUUGGUACACAUAACCAUUUCUAGCAUAUUGAGCUUUUCAUAAAAGACUCUAGGGACUUUGAUCUAGUCUUGCUAACUUCUUACCUUCAAUUGUGGAAAGCUUAUGCUUCACAUAAGCAUCUGCAUUCUGGCAUUUGGAUGGAUUUUUCUAAUGUUCCAGUCUUGGCUUUCAUUGAUUGUUGAACAAUCUCAUAUCAUUGCCAAGCUUCUUUCGAGGUUCUACACCCUUUUGAUUUGUGUAGGACUCAAUUGCCACAUUUUCUCCUCUUAGAUUCCACUGCACUGUCCAUAGGUGCUUGAUUCCUUUG
rnacentral:misc_RNA from 1 species